GCGGUUUUCCCUGCUUGCUCUUGGAAUCAAUGGACCAGGCGGAUGGAGCCUUAGAGCUUCUUUGACUACCACCUUCAGGUACACUAGUUUCUGGAUAUCAUCCUCUUCAAUUGUCUCCUUUCCCUUGCAGACUUGUCUUACUUCUGCCUGUGCCUUUGCCAUCACCCUGGGAUGCUUCAUCAAUUCUGACAUUGCCCAUUCACUUGUUACAGAUGAAGUAUCUGUUCCAGCAGUGAAAAUGUCCUGUAUUGCGGGCACCAAUUAUCAACAUUCCUGUUUAAUAAACAAGAGAAAACAAGAAAGAAGAUAAUAGGCAGGUUGUCAGUUAUGCUACUCACAAAAAGUACACCUUUGAUAUUCCUGUCUGUGAUUGGCAUUUGAAGGUUUCCACUUUCCUGCAGUCUCAAAAGAACGUCGAUAAGAUCUUCUUCUCCGGACACAGCAUUGCCCAUCUUUCCACUUUUAUGGUUCAGUUUAUGUUGAUUGAUCACAUCAUCAAGAAUUUCGUCCAUCUUGUCAUGCAUC
rnacentral:lncRNA from 1 species